GCUCAUCAGGCCUGAGAAGAACUUCCAGACCCAUCAACUGGAUCCUGGAUGUGCAGCUGAGCCUCUUUCAAAACUGCUGUCACCAUGGACUCCUGCGCAGACCAAACAUCCCUUUUGUGUGUGUGGGUCUUCACCUCACACAACCCCUACGGAAUCACAAGAGGAAAAUACCACUAUUUCUCAGUCAGGCGGAGGACUAAGAAUUCAAGGUGAACACCUCUUGCUAAUGGCUCUUUUUAGUGAAACCACUACUGAGAGCUGACGGAACACACACAUUUGGCAAACAGAUGGAGGGAGGGAACGGGCAUCUCCCUUUGUGAAUUCAAUACCAGUUGAUUCAUUAGGCAGAACUGCCAACACAGAAAAUAAAUACAGCCUCUGGUUACAAAAGUAUAACUGCUGCUUACCAAACAACAGAAAUAAAAAAAACAGGCA
rnacentral:lncRNA from 1 species